AACUACUUGGCUUGAGUGCAGGAGAGGAGAGUGGAAUUCCUAGUGUAGCGGUGAAAUGCGUAGAUAUUAGGAGGAACACCAGUGGCGAAGGCGACUCUCUGGACUGUAACUGACGCUGAGGCACGAAAGCGUGGGGAGCAAACAGGAUUAGAUACCCUGGUAGUCCACGCCGUAAACGAUGAGUGCUAGGUGUCGGGGGUUCACACCCUCGGUGCCGGAGUUAACGCAAUAAGCACUCCGCCUGGGGAGUACGGUCGCAAGACUGAAACUCAAAGGAAUUGACGGGGACCCGCACAAGCAGCGGAGCAUGUGGUUUAAUUCGAAGCAACGCGAAGAACCUUACCAGGACUUGACAUCCCUUUGACAGCACCUUAACCGGAGCCUUCCCUUCGGGGACAAAGGAGACAGGUGGUGCAUGGUUGUCGUCAGCUCGUGUCGUGAGAUGUUGGGUUAAGUCCCGCAACGAGCGCAACCCUUGCCUUUAGUUGCCAUCAGUAAGGCUGGGCACUCUAGAGGGACUGCCGGUGACAAACCGGAGGAAGGUGGGGAUGACGUCAAAUCAUCAUGCCCCUUAUGUUCUGGGCUACACACGUGCUACAAUGGCUGGUACAACGGGCAGCGAAGGAGUAAUCCGGAGCGAAUCCUACAAAGCCAGUCCUAGUUCGGAUUGUGGGCUGCAACUCGCCCACAUGAAGCCGGAGUUGCUAGUAAUCGUGAAUCAGAAUGUCGCGGUGAAUGCGUUCCCGGGUCUUGUACACACCGCCCGUCACACCAUGGGAGCUCAGGGCACCCGAAGUCAGCACUAGGCGCAAGCUGAAGCUGCCGAAGGUGAAAUGAGUGACUGGGGUG
rnacentral:rRNA from 1 species